UAAUACUAAUUAUUGUAUAUCUACUUUUUUCACUAAUUCUUUUGAGGAUAAGCUCAAAGAGAAAGUUAAGAUAUUUAUGAUUAUAAGCCGCCGUGUGGGCUUAAAAUUGGCCACCACAAAAGUUUGUUAUAAAAUAACGGUUUCAACUCAAAAAAUAAAUAUAUUUUAAUCUAACUUCUUACGGAAAUAAAAUCUUUAACUAAAGUAAGUUUUAUACCUAUGCUAGGAUGAGUAUUAUAAACUAAUAUUAAACAUGAAAAUAUUUCUUCAGUAAAAAUUAUUCAAACAAACUAAUUAAUUAAAAGGAACUCGGCAAAAUUAGUUGCUUCGCCUGUUUAUCAAAAACAUGGCUCUCUGCUUAUGUAAAUAUAGAGAGUCGAGCCUGCCCAGUGAAUUUUCAACGGCCGCGGUACUCUGACCGUGCAAAGGUAGCAUAAUCAUUUGCCUUAUAAUUGAAGGCUAGUAUGAAUGGUUUGACGAGAGCAACGCUGUCUCUUUUUUAUUUUCAAGAACUUAACUUUUAGGUGAAGAGGCCUAAAUUUUAUUGAAGGACAAGAAGACCCUGUCGAGCUUAAAAGAUAUUAUAGAAGUGCAUAUAUUUUUAAAUAAAUUUUCUAUUCAGCUUUUUAGUUGGGGCGACUAAGGAACAAAAAAAGCUUCUUAUUAAUAAUAAACACUCAUGUUUAGAUCCGGCAAUAACCGAUCAAAGGAAUUAGUUACCGCAGGGAUAACAGCAUAAUCUCUCUUGAGAGACCUAAUCGAAAGAGGGGGUUGUGACCUCGAUGUUGGACUAGAA
rnacentral:rRNA from 1 species